AACGAACGCUGGCGGCAGGCUUAACACAUGCAAGUCGAACGCCCCGCAAGGGGAGUGGCAGACGGGUGAGUAACGCGUGGGAACAUACCCUUUCCUGCGGAAUAGCUCUGGGAAACUGGAAUUAAUACCGCAUACGCCCUACGGGGGAAAGAUUUAUCGGGGAAGGAUUGGCCCGCGUUGGAUUAGCUAGUUGGUGUGGUAAAGGCCUACCAAGGCGACGAUCCAUGGCUGGUCUGAGAGGAUGAUCAGCCACAUUGGGACUGAGACACGGCCCAAACUCCUACGGUAGGCAGCAGUGGGGAAUAUUGGACAAUGGGCGCAAGCCUGAUCCAGCCAUGCCGCGUGAGUGAUGAAGGCCUUAGGGUUGUAAAGCUCUUUCACCGAUGAAGAUAAUGACGGUAGUCGGAGGAGAAGCCCCGGCUAACUUCGUGCCAGCCGCCGCAGUAAUAC
rnacentral:rRNA from 1 species